rnacentral:rRNA from 1 species
UACGUAGGUGGCAAGCGUUGUCCGGAAUUACUGGGUGUAAAGGGAGCGUAGGCGGGAAUGCAAGUUGAAUGUGAAAUUUACGGGCUCAACUCGUGAACUGCGUUCAAAACUGUAUUUCUUGAGUUAAGUAGAGGCAGGCGGAAUUCCCUGUGUAGCGGUGAAAUGCGCAGAUAUAGGGAGGAACACCAGUGGCGAAGGCGGCCUGCUGGGCUUGUACUGACGCUGAGGCUCGAAAGCGUGGGUAGCAAACAGG